rnacentral:ncRNA from 1 species
CCGGAAACACGGGGGUGCCGCAGCCUCACCCGCUGCGUGCUGAGAUCAUACCCUUACUAAACCUGAUCCCGGUAAUUCGGGCGAAGGGAGUGUUUCCUUCCGGCGC